CAAGGCUAGGUUAUGAAAACAAAUUUCCUCAUUCAUUUUGACAACAUCCUUUAACAAUUUGAACAAUGACAGACCAUGCUUCUGUCUUCACUCAUGAUGUUCCAAUUUCCUUUUGUUUAUGGAAAGGUUAUUGCAUUCAUUAUAAUAGUAACGCUCUCUAGCACACCUCUGGCUUCAUUCUGACACAUCUAAGAGGUUAUCACUUUUUCAAAUAAGAUAAGAUAAGUGUUUUUUUUAAGAUAUUCUGGUUAUUCAUUAUUCAGCGGGUCAAUAAUUCAGUCCAAACACUGUCAGAUGACACAUGCUCUUUCAACCUCAGAACUUCUCACCUUCCCACCAUGCUUCAUCUGUUCACCUGUUUCUUGCUCCUGCCAUUCACCCGACUUUGAUGUACAGUAACUCUAUACGUCUAUUCCACUACAUCUUGGAGGUAUCUCUCGCAUCAUGCAAGCAGCUGAGUGUACCACAAGAUGGCAGUCUGAAUUCUGGAGCUGCCAUGUGGUUUAGACACACAGCUGUUGAAGUCUAAUCAGCCCUCCCUCUGCCCAUCCCUAUUCACAUCCACUUACCCUCUUUCCCCCCCUAUCAUCUCAGUCUUGUGCACCUCUCCAAUCUCUCCUUUUCCAGGUACUGUCUGGGGCCCGUAAAUUAAUUUGGGUGACUCAGCUCCCAAGAUGGAUCCCCAACACAGAGUCGCCUCCUCCCUGGCCUUCAAUAUAUCAAUCCUGAACCGGCAUAAAAUGGACAACUUCCUCCCCCACACUCAUUCAUCUUCAACAUCCAAUAAUUCUUAAUUUCAUUAAAAUCACAUUGUUGUGGUUGAAACCAAUGUGUGUGUUUAUGCAUUUCUACAACACUCCCUCCACCUGCAUGUAUCCAAAUCAUUGUCUAUACAAAUAAAUGGUUUCUUGACUCAGA